rnacentral:rRNA from 1 species
AAACUCUGCAAUAGGCGAAAGCUUGACAGGGUUAUUCUGAGUGAUUUCCGCUAAGGAAAUCUUUUGGCACCUCUAAAAAUGGUGCAGAAUAAGGGGUGGGCAAGCCUGGUGUCAGCCGCCGCGGUAAUACCAGCACCCCGAGUGGUCGGGACGAUUAUUGGGCCUAAAGCAUCCGUAGCCGGUUCUACAAGUCUUCCGUUAAAUCCAUCUGCUUAACAGA